GUGGUGAAUCUUGCGCAAUGGGCGAAAGCCUGACGCAGCCAUGCCGCGUGAAUGAUGAAGGUCUUAGGAUUGUAAAAUUCUUUCACCGGGGACGAUAAUGACGGUACCCGGAGAAGAAGCCCCGGCUAACUUCGUGCCAGCAGCCGCGGUAAUACGAAGGGGGCUAGCGUUGCUCGGAAUUACUGGGCGUAAAGGGCGCGUAGGCGGACAGUUUAGUCAGAGGUGAAAGCCCAGGGCUCAACCUUGGAAUUGCCUUUGAUACUGGCUGUCUUGAGUACGGGAGAGGUGAGUGGAACUCCGAGUGUAGAGGUGAAAUUCGUAGAUAUUCGGAAGAACACCAGUGGCGAAGGCGACUCACUGGCCCGUUACUGACGCUGAGGCGCGAAAGCGUGGGGAGCAAACAGGAUUAGAUACCCUAGUAGUCC
rnacentral:rRNA from 1 species